UCACAGUUCCUACUUAGGACUAUGUGUCCGAGCCCUUGAGGGUAAAGAGAGAGAAGGAAAGAAAGGGGCCUUUGGAGACACCUCCAGGAAGAGACUGUGCAUUUGUUUUUGUAGAUGUGCUCACGGGCCACGCAUGUCCCAGGAGGGGGGCGGGGAGAGGGGGACCACAGUGAAUCUUGAGCAGAGCCCUCUGCUGGGGAGGGGCGCCCCCUGACCCACUUUCGUGCUGUCCCCUGCCCUGGGGUCGCCGCCCCACCCUGGGUGGAAAUGCUAACCCGGAGGGCUGCACCGCGCGCGGCGUGGGAGGCCGCCCGCUCCCCACCCUAAGCCGCGACCCUGGGGCGCGGGGCGUGCGGGGACCCCAGGGUCGGCCCGUGCCGGAGCAGCCUCGCGCGGGCUCCCGGGUCCCCCCGAACCUCGGGCGUGUGCAAGGACCCUCGGGCCACCGCCUGGGUCCCUGGCACCUCAGCCCCCCAGCGGAGGGAAAAGGAGAUUGAGGAGGGGAAGAAACAGUAAACAGCUCCAGCGUCCGGGCCUCGCCUCUGAGAGAGCCCCGCUCCCCAGGCCCUGCCGGCGGCCGGCGGGAUCCCCCGCUGUCCCCGGGGCCGCGCUGUCCCGGACCCGGAGCACCCGAGGAGAGUCCGGGCCUCUCCCCGGAUGGCUCUGGAGGCUCCUGAAGCGACCCGGGCAGCGGAGAACGGGGAAGUCAGGACUUACCUGUCAUUACUUUCUACGCCAUCUUGGAUCCACUUGUCAACGUCCCCACAAAGCAUUAUGGGCGGCGACCCCAGGCGGCGGGACAAGGUAGAGGGCGGGCGCCACGCUGGCUCUGGGCAGAGAGAGGAGGGGGAUGUCCAGAGUGGCUUGGAGGCGACCAGGACGCAGGAAGUAGGAGGCGACCGUGCGCCGGCAACAGACCUUUGCGAGCAUCCCGCGGGCAUCUGCUUUCUGGUUGCAAGACAAGCCCAGCGCUUUCCCCGCCCCUCCCGCGUUGCUUCAGGCGAGCAACACCUAGCUCAGUGUCAGCACUGCUGAGUUUGAGGACCUCUAGAUGCUCGCCUCCCCGGAGCAAGAUUUGUGUCCAAAAGAAAAUGCUCCGAGACUUCCGGGUAGAUCCUGUUGUUUAGCUUUAGCGAGGGUUUAAUCCCCAGUAAUAAAUAAAUCUCCAAUAUACCAAAGCUUGCUGUUAAAUGGUUCUGUAAAUUCAAAGAUCCUGAGGCAACAGGCACUAUCGCGCAAACACACUCUUUUCGGUGCAAAGGGUCUUAGAUCUACCUUUUUUAGUCACCUCUGGAUCCCACCAGAGCAGUCUUUAGCUACCUGGGUGAUUGCUGACAACCUCUGCCCGCAGGGAGCCAAAAGCUCCACCAUUCUAUUGUCUCAGCCUGAAGAGAAGGGUGAGGUGCGGACUCAUUAAGGGAUUGGCCCCGGGGUCACUCUUGAGGGAGGGAGCAGGUGAGUCAUUCCAACGGACUAGGAAGAGGUUUUCCAGGGAGGAACCUCCCCUGAGUCACCGCUUUUCAGAGCUUCUGAGAAGCUUCAGUUGAGUUGGAGACAAGAGCUCUGGGCACCUCUAGGGUGGUCAGGGUGUCCACUACCUGUCCCUUGGCUCUCCCUGCUAAGGAAGGCGCCCACGUCUUGUUUCCAGGGUACCCUAGCUGCUCCUCCUCCAGUUCCUGCAUUUCUUUAGCCACUAGGAUGCACUAAUGUGAUGAUUGGCAACUUCAAGUGGGCGAUCUGAGCUUCCUUGUAAGUAAGUAAUCAACCGAAGCACACGGGCUAUGCCUGCCAAGCUGCCUCUUUGCUAGGUAGCCUUUCUUUGCUUUAGAAAAGCUUUGGCCCAAAGACAGGUUCCAUUUAUGUCACUGCCUCUGGUGUGUGUUCUGGCAGGUUCUUGUCCCAGAUGCCACCUGUUACCUGUGCUGAAAGAACCUCCUCCAGGAGGUUCUCCCGCUCCGGGCCUGCCCUUCCAUUCUGACCAACUCAGAUAGACAGUUGUAGUUCACAUUUGUGAAAUACAAAUCUUACUUACGCCUUCACAUCACAAUUGAGAUGAGCCUAAGUUCCCAGCCAUAGCCUACAAGAUCAAUAUGAGAUUGCCCUUCCUCCAUAAUGAGUCCAGUGUGGCCUCUCUCUUCCCUACAUCACCCCACGAUCUUUCCCUGAGAAAAAUAUUUCCCUUGAUCUGCCAGUCAUCAGCUCAUCAUCCAGGUCUCUGUUUGUGUCACUCCUCCAGAAGGACAUCUACCAUCCCCUUAAAUGAAACAGGCCGCCGGGCUUGGUGGCACAUGCCUUU